ensembl:lncRNA
CUUUAUUUGUAUAUAUUUUAAAUGUUUUAGGAUGCCCUAUAUUUGUAAUGCCUAGAAAGUUUGAUGAAGUAAGUAAGUAAGCAUUACAGGGGGUUGGACUAGAUGAGCACUGGGGUCCCUUCCAAUUCUGGAAUUCUAUGAUUCCACGAAAAGAGAAUAUGCAUGGGAAAGAGGGUCGGAGAGAAGGAAAAUCGCAGGGGUGUAGAGAAGAACAGAUGGCAGACAAAAGCAAGACUAGAAGGACUGAGAUAAAAGCAGAGGUUUAAACCUAUGGCAUUUAUUCAUUUGCUGAUUUUUAAAUCAUUUCUAAGCUGCUUAAAUCUUAAACAGUGCACUAAGCAAUAUAAAAAUCAUAAAAACAGUAAUAUAAAGUCAUUAAAAAACCAGGAAUUUCAUCUCUCUGAUUGUCUAUCUUUUUUGUUCUCUUAGGUGCAAUAUUGGUGUGCACUCUCUCUGGCUCUGUCCCCGAAGGCAUGAUGAUUAUGUGGCAGGCAGGUGGCCAAUCAGGUAACACCCCUGGCAUCAUAAGUGCACGCACUGGUAGCACAUCAUGCGUCAGCAUUGCAGUACAAGAAGUUGGGCAGGCGCUGUUCAGCUGUCGACUAUCCCUCCCUGAGUCCCAAACAAAAGUCAAUGAACCUGAAGACAAAGGGAACGGUCUCCAUGAGAACCUCUAUCGCGCCAACCAUAAAGAAAGCAGCCUUCAGCAAGCACAGACAAUCCUCACCGGCAUGGUCAUUGGGCUCAAUGCAAGUGAAAUUUCUGUCCAGUGGGUGAAGAAUGCCCUCCUUGAAGGUCACCAUGUGAAUCCCCGAGUCUUGAAGGGCAGCAUCAAGGAUUCCCUCUUGGCCCUCAGCCAGGUGGUAAUCCCCUACUCUGACUGGCACAACGGUACUUCAUACUCCUGUACGUUUACCCGCACAGCAGGCACCGUGGAGCCCACCCAGAGGCCUGAGGAGAAAUCCCAGGGUGAAAAGUGAUGCAAACCCCAUCCUCAGCAUCACAACCUCUUCAGCCUAUCCCAGAUUCAAUAAUUUCCAUGUAUCCAUGUUUGGCCUAAGGCUAAAUAAAAAUGAGCAUACUCACAGAUAUUUCAUGAUUUGAUCACUUGAUUGAGGUGGUGGGUGGGUUCUGGAAAGAAGUGGGGAAUGGAUUAAUCUCCCUGCAAAAUCGUGUUGAAGUUUGAUUAUUGUAGAAGCAAAGUGUGUUUAGCACAUAACCAUGAAGUUCACUGGGGGGGCUUUUGGCUAGUCACUCUCUCUUAGCCUAUCCUUCCUCACCAGGGUUUAGACUCUAACCGAGCACAGAUUUUUGUGUCUCCCCCCCCCCCAGCAAAGCAUGUCCUAUAAAAGGAAAGGUGAGUGGAGUGACAACAAUUCAUUUUGCUGACCAGUGUCUUCUGCCUGUUGAUCAUGUCUACCCAGCAUCAGUUGACCUAGAUGAACAGGUGGUGCAGUUGGUGGCAGAUUUUCAUA